GUGCUUGCUUCGGCAGCACAUAUACUAAAAAUGGAACAAUCCAGAGAAGAUUAGCAUGGCCCCUGUGCAAGGAUGACACGUAAAUUUGUGAAGUGUUCCGUAUUUUU
ensembl:snRNA U6 U6 spliceosomal RNA